rnacentral:rRNA from 1 species
GGCGCGCCCCGGGCGGGGCGGGGGCACGGGGGGAACGCGAAGAACCUUACCUGGUCUUGACAUCCACAGAACUUGCCAGAGAUGCCUUGGUGCCUUCGGGAACUGUGAGACAGGUGCUGCAUGGCUGUCGUCAGCUCGUGUUGUGAAAUGUUGGGUUAAGUCCCGCAACGAGCGCAACCCUUAUCCUUUGUUGCCAGCGGUUCGGCCGGGAACUCAAAGGAGACUGCCAGUGAUAAACUGGAGGAAGGUGGGGAUGACGUCAAGUCAUCAUGGCCCUUACGACCAGGGCUACACACGUGCUACAAUGGCGCAUACAAAGAGAAGCGACCUCGCGAGAGCAAGCGGACCUCAUAAAGUGCGUCGUAGUCCGGAUUGGAGUCUGCAACUCGACUCCAUGAAGUCGGAAUCGCUAGUAAUCGUGAAUCAGAAUGUCACGGUGAAUACGUUCCCGG